GAUGAACGCUCGCGGCAGGCCUAACACAUGCAAGUCGAGGGAGAAGCCCUUUCGGGGGCAGAUACCGGCGCACGGGUGCGUAACGCGUAUGCAACCUACCUUUCACAGGGGGAUAGCCCGAAGAAAUGUGGAUUAAUACCCCAUAAUAUUAUGUGAUGGCAUCAUUUGAUAAUUAAAAAUGCGGUGGUGAAAGAUGGGCAUGCGUCCUAUUAGCUAGUUGGAGUGGUAACGGCACUCCAAGGCGACGCUAGGUAGGGGUCGUGAUAGGGAGAUCCGGCACAUUGGUACUAAGCGAGUGACCAUGAUUCUACGGGCGGCAGCAUUUAUGAAUACUGCUGCAUGGUCGGAGGUCUGAUCCAGCCAUGCCGCGUGCAGUAAGACUGCCUUAUGUAUGGUAAACUUCUUUUUUAUGUGAAUGAUAAGGCGUACGUGUACGUUGUUGACGGUACCGGAUGAAUAAGCAUCGGCUAACUCCGUG
rnacentral:rRNA from 1 species